UCUAAUAGGCAAACUUUUGUGAGCAAAGCUACAAACGGUUGGAAAAAGACCACAACAAAGCCUGUUAACCAAUCAAGGACACCGACAUCUGCUUCCCCAGGCAAUAUCAUUCAUACAGACAAACUUCACAUCCCAACCACUCCUAGUAAUGAUUCGUGCUCAGAACUUCCACUUCCAGUUUUCAUAAUAAUGGCAAUAGCAAAUUUUGUUUUCAUAACAUUAAUUGUUAUUUGGAUUAUUUGGAAAUUCUGCAAAAGGGACAAUCCAAACAAGAAAGAAGACAAAAUAUCAACAGACGGCAGCUAAUCUGCUUACAGAGUCGAUUUAUCAAAUGUCAAAUUACAAUCUGUACACGACACUGCGAACGAGGUGUACGAAACUGCUAAAUUCGAAUUUCCCGACGCACGUGCAGCUCGCGAGGAAGGAGUGGCAACUGAUCAUGACGAACACGACGAUGUACAUGAGACGGCAAUGCAGAACAAUACAGCUUACGGAACUACUUGAUACGUCAAUAUACUUCAGCAUGCAUUCAGCAACUGUACAAGCGUACGCUACUCAAUGCUAGAAAUCUUUUGCAUGGAUGACCGAAUUCGCUCAUGAGUUCUAAAUAUUAUGUAGCCAUGCAGUGAUUGUGGUUCUCAAC